rnacentral:rRNA from 1 species
UACGGAGGGGGCUAGCGUUGUUCGGAAUUACUGGGCGUAAAGCGCACGUAGGCGGCUUUGUAAAGUUAGAGGUGAAAGCCCGGGGCUCAACCCCGGAUCUGCGGUGGGUACGGGCAGACUAGAGUGAUGUAGGGGAGACUGGAAUUCCUGGUGUAGCGGUGGAAAUGCGCAGAUAUCAGGAGGAACACCGAUGGCGAAAGGCAAUCCCGAGGGCCCUGUACUGAACGCUCAUGCACGAAAGCGUGGGGAGCAAACAGGA